rnacentral:rRNA from 1 species
UACAGAGGUGGCAAGCGUUGUUCGGAAUUACUGGGCGUAAAGGGCGCGUAGGCGGCCAUCUAAGUCAGACGUAGAAAUCCCCCGGCUUAACCUGGGAACUGCGUCUGAUACUGGACGGCUCGAGUUUGGGAGAGGGAUGCAGAAUUCCAGGUGUAGCGGUGAAAUGCGUAGAUAUCUGGAGGAAUACCGGUGGCGAAGGCGGCAUCCUGGACUAAUACUGACGCUGAGGCGCGAAAGCUAGGGGAGCAAACGGGG